rnacentral:rRNA from 1 species
GUCGAACGAAGCACCUCUCCCGUUGAUUGAAGUAGCUUGCUACAGAUUGAAACACUUGAGGUGACUGAGUGGCGGACGGGUGAGUAACGCGUGGGUAACCUGCCUUGUACAGGGGGAUAACAGUUGGAAACGACUGCUAAUACCGCAUAAGCGCACAGUAUCGCAUGAUACAGUGUGAAAAACUCCGGUGGUACAAGAUGGACCCGCGUCUGAUUAGCUAGUUGGAGGGGUAACGGCCCACCAAGGCGACGAUCAGUAGCCGACUUGAGAGAGUGAUCGGCCACAUUGGGACUGAGACACGGCCCAAACUCCUACGGGAGGCAGCAGUAGGGAAUAUUGCACAAUGGGGGAAACCCUGAUGCAGCGACGCCGCGUGAAGGAUGAAGUAUUUCGGUAUGUAAACUUCUAUCAGCAAGGAAGAAAAUGACGGUACUUGACUAAGAAGCCCCGGCUAAAUACGUGCCAGCAGCCGCGGUAAUACGUAUGGGGCAAGCGUUAUCCGGAUUUACUGGGUGUAAAGGGAGCGUAGGCGGUACGGCAAGUCAGAAGCGAAAGCCUGGGGCUCAACCCCGGAAUUGCUUUUGAAACUGUCGAACUAGAGUGUCGGAGGGGUAAGCGGAAUUCCUAGUGUAGCGGUGAAAUGCGUAGAUAUUAGGAGGAACACCAGUGGCGAAGGCGGCUUGCUGGACGAUGACUGACGUUGAGGCUCGAAAGCGUGGGGAGCAAACAGGAUUAGAUACCCUGGUAGUCCACGCCGUAAA